rnacentral:rRNA from 1 species
UACGAAGGGGGCUAGCGUUGUUCGGAAUUACUGGGCGUAAAGGGCGCGUAGGCGGUCCUGAUCGUCGGAUGUGAAAGGCCUGGGCUCAACCUGGGAAUGGCAUCCGAUACGGCGGGACUGGAGUGUGGGAGAGGUUGGUGGAAUUCCCAGUGUAGAGGUGAAAUUCGUAGAUAUUGGGAAGAACACCGGUGGCGAAGGCGGCCAACUGGACCACGACUGACGCUGAGGCGCGAAAGCGUGGGGAGCAAACAGG